UGGGGAAUAUUGCGCAAUGGGGGAAACCCUGACGCAGCAACGCCGCGUGGGUGAUGAAGGCCUUCGGGUCGUAAAGCCCUGUCAGCAGGGAAGAAACUCCGGGAUUCGAAUAGGGUCUCGGAUUGACGGUACCUGCGGAGGAAGCACCGGCUAACUCCGUGCCAGCAGCCGCGGUAAAACGGAAGGUGCAAGCGUUGUUCGGAAUUACUGGGCGUAAAGCGCGUGCAGGUGGUUUUCUAAGUUUCGUGUGAAAGCCCACGGCUCAACCGUGGAACGGCACGGAAAACUGGAAGACUUGAAUACGGGAGAAGAGGGCGGAAUUCCCAGUGUAGAGGUGAAAUUCGUAGAUAUUGGGAGGAACACCGGUGGCGAAAGCGGCUCUCUAGACCGAUAUUGACGCUCAUACGCGAGAGCGUGGGUAGCAAACAGGAUUAGAUACCCACGUAGUCCCUGAGCGGCUGGCAAGGCGCAU
rnacentral:rRNA from 1 species